rnacentral:rRNA from 1 species
UACGUAGGGUGCGAGCGUUGUCCGGAAUUAUUGGGCGUAAAGAGCUCGUAGGCGGCUUGUCGCGUCGGAUGUGAAAGCCCGGGGCUUAACUCCGGGUCUGCAUUCGAUACGGGCAGGCUGGAGUGCGGUAGGGGAGAUCGGAAUUCCUGGUGUAGCGGUGAAAUGCGCAGAUAUCAGGAGGAACACCGGUGGCGAAGGCGGAUCUCUGGGCCGUGACUGACGCUGAGGAGCGAAAGCGUGGGGAGCGAACAGG